UACUUUUUCCACUUUGCAUGCCAAUGAUGGAAUAUCACAAAAUCUACAUCAGUAAUAGAUGCACUAUUUGCUCAAAACAAAUUCAGAUCUCCCGCAGUUAUUCCUCAGUUUGAAUACAUUCGUUUUACAGACUUUUCAACAAGUCCCACUAAUUAAUUCCUGUUACAUGUACAUGCUAUGGAUUGAUUUAAACAAAUACAUGUGUUAUACUUUCCAGAUUGAAGCUACAGCACAGACAAAGGCAGAAAAAAUAAAAUUGGCUUUGGAGAAGCUGAACGAAGCCAAGAUGAAAAAGCUGAUCAUUAAGGUUCUGCUGAGUGAUGGCAGCUCCAAGGCUCUGAUGGUGGACGAGAGACAGACGGCGCGCGACGUGCUGGACAACCUGUUUGAGAAGACUCACUGUGACUGCAGCGUGGACUGGAGCCUGUGUGAGACCAACCCACACCUCCAGAUUGAGAGAGCAUUCGAGGAUCACGAAUGCCUUGUGGAGCAUUUGUCCACAUGGAGCCGAGACACAGAGAACCAGCUGCUCUUCCUGAGGAGGUCGGACAAAUAUGCCGUCUUCAGGGAGCCUCAGAUGUUUUACCUCUGGAAAAAGGACGGGAGUAAAAUGAGUGAAAAGGACAAGGGAUUUCUAAUAAAGGAGAGCUUUGAGGGCCCCUCGGCCAGUGUUCCAGACCUGGAGGGCGCGUUAUUCCUCAAAGAGAGUGUGAAGAAGACUUGGAAACGGCGUUACUUCAUACUGCGAGCCUCUGGGAUCUAUUAUGUGCAAAAAGGAAAGACUAAGUUAUCCAGUGACCUGGCGUGCUUCAUUCAGUUGGAGCAUGUGAACGUGUACCACAGCCAGGAGUACAAACACAAGUACAGAGCCCCCACUGACUUCUGCUUCGUCCUCAAGCACCCUCAGAUCCAAAUGGAGUCGGAGUACGUCCGCAUCCUCUGCUGUGACGACGAGCGCAGUCUGAGUCUCUGGGUGACCUCCAUCAGAAUCGCCAAGUAUGGGCCGCAGCUGUACAGGAACUACCAGACAGCACUGCAGAGGGCUUCAGUUUCCACGCCAGGAAACAGCCAGCUCACACGAUUCACCACACCCAGCACCACUGUGCUCAAAGGUGACUGUGAAACACACACAGAUCUACACACACACAAACACACACACACACACACAUUAUCACUCACAUUAUACCUCCUGUUCAGAGUCAUGUGGAUAUGUAGAAUGACAGAUGCAGUAUUGUAA
rnacentral:lncRNA from 1 species